AAAGUCUGAUGGAGCAACGCCGCGUGAGUGAUGAAGGUUUUCGGAUCGUAAAACUCUGUUGUAAGGGAAGAACCAGUACGUCAGGCAAUGGACGUACCUUGACGGUACCAACAGAAGAAGCGACGGCUAAAUACGUGCCAGCAGCCGCGGUAAUACGUAUGUCGCAAGCGUUAUCCGGAUUUAUUGGGCGUAAAGCGCGUCUAGGCGGUUUGGUAAGUCUGAUGUGAAAAUGCGGGGCUCAACUCCGUAUUGCGUUGGAAACUGCCAAACUAGAGUACUGGAGAGGUAGGCGGAACUACAAGUGUAGAGGUGAAAUUCGUAGAUAUUUGUAGGAAUGCCGAUGGGGAAGCCAGCCUACUGGACAGAUACUGACGCUAAAGCGCGAAAGCGUGGGUAGCAAACA
rnacentral:rRNA from 1 species